AAGUAGUUCAUCUGUUUCCCCAAAAAAACAAGUUGAGAAAUGUAAUGAUAAAAAUUACAAAAUAAAUAAUAAACAGACGAGUGAUGUAAUAAAAGCUAGCAAAACAACAAAAAAUACAAAGUGUGUUACAAACUGUGUAACAAAACAAAAUAAAAUUAAUGUAUAUAAAGGGACUAACCAUAACAACACUCCUAACGUUUAUAAAAAGGUAAAGACAAAUUGUCAACCCAAAAGUUCCGAUGAUGAAAAUUUCCCUAAACUUAGAAGAAUAGAUAAUAAUAUUAAUAUAAAAAAAAAAAGUAUUAUUAAAUGAUAAUAAAAAAAUUUCAUCAGAAAAAAAACAAUAUAUAGAUAUUUUAUUGGCUGAUCGAUAUUCUUUAUGUACCAACAAAAAUAAAUUGUCGACAAUUAUGGAGGACUGUGAUAAUUGUGACGGCAAUGGUGAACAAAAAGAAAGGGGAGUAGAAGUUGAAUUAAAAAGAAAACAAUGUAAUCUGUUUUUUACUCCUUCCUACCAUACAGCUAGCCCACAUGAGAAUCCUCAAUAUUACACACAAGACAAAAAUUCCGGUGAAAAUUUUGACAAAUAUUAUUAUCAAGAAGUUCAAAAUGUUGAUAUGAUUCAUUCGAAAGAGCAAGAGAAUCAAUCGUUACAUUUUUCUAAUGAACAGGACACUACACAAGUUACUAAACAUGUUACUACACAAGUUACUACACAAGUUACUACACAAGCCACUGCCCAACCCACAACAACUAACCGAUUUAACAACAAAAUAAAUAACAAAGGGAAAGAAAUAAAAACUAAUGUAUUACCAUUACAAAAAAAACCAAUUGUUUUACGUGAAAAAGAGAAAAAACCAAUUACAUAUAAUACUAUAAACGAUAAAAUAGAUAUGAGUAAAAAAUUUAGUAAAGAAUUGUAUCCUCUUGAAGUGUUAGUUUCUUAUAAGUGUAAAAAUAUAUAUAUCAAAAUUAAUGUUGACACAAAUAAUGAAACUUUAAUAAAACACACUCAACAUAAAAUAUCAAAAAGAAGUUUGGAAUUUAAACUGGUUACAACUAAGGUUCUAGAUGGCUGUGUUCAAUCAACUGAAAGUAAAGUAUAUAAAUCUUCUAAUAUUAUAUUACAAAAUCCAAAAACAGAAAUUUUUUAUAAUAUGGCUGUUCAUGUAUAUAGUACUACUAUACCGAACUUAUGGUUAUAUGCAUCUGUUUCUUUUUAUUUAACCAAAUUUAAUAUAAAAAAAUUAAAAAUAAAAACACCGUAUCCUGUUAAUAUUGGUAAAAAUGUAGAUACAGAGAAUGAUACAAUUUAUAAUGAAGUUAGUGUAGGAGCAGUUGGUGUAGGAGCAGUUGGUGUAGGAGCAGUUGGUGUAGAAGCAGUUGGUGUAGAAGUAGUUGGUGUAGAAGUAGUUGGUGUAGAAGCAGAAAAAAAAACAGUUUCGUCUUAUGAACAAUCUGAUAUAACUUACGAAAUUGAAAACACCGAUUUAAAACAGAGUAAUGCAAAGAGUACCAUAUCGAUCACUUCAGUAAACAAAAGUGGUGCAAAACAAAAAAAAACAGUUGGAACAAAUUGGAAUGAAGAUGAAAAGGUUAGUACGUCUUCUGUUGAAAUGGAGCCUUGUCAAAAUCAAAGAUUAAACCAAAAAGAUUCACCUUUAAAUAAUUCAAUAAGAAAUAAAAAGUUUGUUAUGUGUGAUAAUGAUAAGGAGACUAAUAAUACCAAAGUUCAACAGAUAAACAAUUUAAAUAACCCAAUAAAAAAAAAUAAAAUUGGGAAAAAAAUUGUUAAGGAAGAAAAUCAUAGUGGCAGUAGAAAACCUAAGUCUAAAAAUUGUUUGUACAAUAUGUAUGAAACAGUAAACAAAGAAGUGUAUUUAGACAGUUGUACAAGUUCCGAUGAUGUAUUAUUAAAUUUUCAUGAUCUUAAUAAUAGUAAAAUAAAAAAUGAUUUUGAGCAAGUUUAUUAUGAAAAAAAUAACAACAAGGAUGUUACUAACAUGCGAACAGAAUAUGUAGAUGAAGAAGAUGGUGAUGAUUUUUCUAAUUUGGUGAAAUUUGAUAUGAUGAAAGUUUAUCAACAGGACCAGGAAGAGGAACAAUCACAAGAGAAGGAACAAUCACAAGAGAAAGUGCAAAACCCUAAUCAAUAUAAAAAAUCUAACAUAUCACGUAAAGAUUAUACAAGUGGUAAAAAAGUAAACUUCAAAAAUUAUCUAUGUAUGAACAAUCCUAAUAAAAAUAACAAUACGUCAAACAGUCCAACAAUGUUAAACAAAAAAAGUACACCUGCCAAUGUAUCAACGCCUGAAAAAAGGUUUAAUAAAAUGGACAAAGACAUUUUUAAAUUUUCUGAAUUUAUUUUAGAAAAAAGGAAUAACAACAUUCUUCCUGAUACUAAUACUACUACUGAUAAUAAUGAUGAUGAUGGUGUAGACUGUACCUACAACACAACCAGUGCAUAUCCCAUAUCUGACCAUAAUAACGCACUUCUUGUUAAUAGUACUAAGCAAUCCCAAAAUAUAAUAGAAGUAAAACCAUUUUCAAAAAUAACAGACGUAGAUGUUAGUUAUAUAAAUACAUACAAAAACAAAAAAAAAAACACUGAUUAUGUUGAUAAUGAUAUAAAUAUAUAUUCUCAAGAAAAUGUAAAAAAUUUUAGUAGAUAUAGCAACAGUGAUAGUAUCACAGAAUCAUCUGUUUCAAAUGUUAUGAACGAUGAAGAUUUAUCAAAUAACAAAAAAUAUAGUGAAGGACAGGGUAGUAAUAAUAAUAAUGAAUUAUUUAUAAGAAAUAUAAAUAGUAAUAUGGGUGAAAAAAUAAAUAUAACAAACUGUUUAACCCAUACAAAUUAUUAUACUAAUAAAAAUCCUGUUUAUGAUGAAAAAUUAAGUAGUUUAGAAUUUGUAAAUUCAUUAAAAACGAGUAUGAAUAUUGAUUUAGAAAAUUGCGAUGUACAUAAUUAUCCUAUCGAUACAUUUCCGGUAGUUCCAUUACUUGAAAAUGACAGUGGUAGCGAUAACAGAGGCGAUAACAGAGGCCACAACAGAGGCGAUUACCGAGGUGACAACAGAGGCGAUUACCGAGGUGACAAGAGUAACAGUAGCAACUGUAGUAACGACAGUAACGAAGAUAGAAAAUAUAGAGAACAUGGUCAUAGGUUAUAUUCAUCAUGUGAUGAUAUAACAGUAGACCAUUCAAAUGGAUUUGUACCUGACUUAGAAAUGUAUGAACAAAAAGAUCCUCAAUUGUACUCAAGAAAUGUAGAAACACAAGAAUCUUUGAUUGAUUCGUCAUAUGCAGUUACUUAUAUUGAAUCAGAAGGAGAAGAAAGUGAAAAUAGAGAAACACAUCAAUAUGGUAUGCAGUCUGAAAGCUCAACUGCGUUAUAUAGAAAUAGAGAUAACAUUUUAAUGGAAAAAAAAAUGGGUAAUAACAUGGGUAAUAACAUGGGUAAUAACAUGGGUAAUAGUAAAGUAUUUAACCAUAGUAAUAAAAAUAUAUCGAAAUUAUCUCCUACAUAUAAUAUAUAUAAUAAUCAUAAACCAGAACCAGCAAAGAGUAACUAUCAAUUUGGUAAUAAUGUGGAAAUAAUAAAAAAUCCACAAAAAUAUCAAAGAGAUUUUAGAAACAGAAUUGUAAGUAAAUUCGAUAAUUUUAAUUUGACUAAUGCAUUUAAAAGUAUUUUACGUAAAGGUUCCUUAUCAAAAAUUGAAAGGAAGACAGAUGAAAAAAAAUGUAUUAGUAUAUUAAAAAAAAGAGUAUAUAAUUCUGAUGGGGUAUUAUAUACAAAUAGAGUUAGAAAAAAUGUGAGGUUUGCAUUUGAUUAUGAAGACAACGAGGAUGAUAAUAAUAAAUUUGAAGUUGUAAGUGGAGGUAGUACUAGUAAUGGUAACAUGAUUAAUCACAGUCCAGUUAAAAAUAAUCCAAGUAAUGUCACCUCAAGUAAUGUUACCCCAAGUAAUACUACUUUAUAUAAUG
rnacentral:lncRNA from 1 species